GCCCUGUUUCGUUAAAACGGUAGUCUCCCCUCCCUCCCAAACAACCCAGAUAUUUUUUUCGGGCUGACCCUUUAUUUAAGAAAGCUAUUAAAAUAGUUUAAAUGACCAAUGAGCAUGGCUAUUUGGGUUGAUUGGCAGUUGCCAUUCUUUAGAAUUAUUGUUUUGAUUGACAGGCAGGCCGUUGUCAAGGAGAAGGGCGAGUCUCGCGGCGUCUCCAGGGGAAGCCCCCUCCCUGCUGCAUUACUUUCAACAGCUUCAUCACUGCGAUGGGUUAUUUAAUUUUGGUUCACUUUCCCCACAAAUAUGCUUUGUUGUACUUUUGGAUGUACUUCUCCGUAUUCUGUAAGGACCUCUGCGGUUUUGGCAAAACAACAAACCACACUUCACCUGGAAAACACAGCCAGGACUCACUGUCAGAUGUCUGAAAAUGUACAGCACACGCCAGCAGGUCUCACCAUAGUCAACAUCAUUAAGGAUUUGGCACUCUGACCUGAGAAGAGGCCCCAUAAACACACCUGACAAGGACCAGCCACUGUUGCCAGUGCACAACUGAGGACCUGACCAGCCUGCUGCCAUCUAUGAUACUAUAUAGUACCCGCGGAGCGGUCUGAAGACGUGGAGUACACUGCAGCAGGUAUCACAUGACCAAGGACUUGGACAACGUCUCUGUUUACAUCUAUAGUGUAUUACACAACUGAAGAUGUGCACAGUACGCUGCUGCCUGCAUCCUACCACCACAGAGGAUCCGAUAUGCAGAACCAGCUUCAAAAACCAUUGCAAUUAUGAAACACAGUUAAUAAAUGCUUAUAUACAGCAGCCCGCACAUUUUGUUUAAUUUGUAAUAUUGGUUAACACACUAUUGUUACAACAGUUUAGAUCGGUGUUUCCCAACCAGGGGUACAUGUACCACUAGGGGUACGUGAACACAAUGCAGGUGGUACAUGCAUUGGCAGGUAUCAAUAAAAAGAAAUGUAUGGAGCAUAAUCAUAUUGGGAUAGAGCAGUGGUUCCUAACCUAUGGGUCGGGACCCAACUUAUGGGUCGCCAAAGAUCCACAGUGGGUCGCGAAGCCCUCUUGAUUUUAAGGGGUUUCGUUUUAAUACCAUAUAGCCCAUG